AUCUUCUUCUCCUUCAUCGUUCUCUCCUCCUAUACCUCUCUAUUCUUCUUUUCUCCUCUCUCGCUUACUCUCUUCCUCUGAUUAUGCAACCCUAGAUCUAUUAGAUUUUAUCAGUUUCGCUUCAGAUUUCAGAUCCAUUAUCUCUUUGUCACCCUCGCUUUCAUCCCCAAAUUUAUCUUAUUCUUCUUCAAUUUGAUGAAAUCUUCAGUCUCCAUCUUCGUCGGUGGUCUGAGAUAGCCUUAAACCAUAAAUUUAAUUUCGGUGGCUGAAACGUAGGUGAAACCCAAACCAUCUUCGUCGCUUGGUUCUUCGUAGCUGAAAGGUUUCUCGAUCAAUUGCUUAAUCCUUCUCCCUCCGACUCCCGUCUUUCUCUUUCUCUCGGCUCCAUAUGUACGAUUUUGUUAGGAUUCACUAGAUUUAUUAGCAAUUGUAGAUGAAUUUGGGUUAGAUUGAUUUAGCAGUGAGAUAAUGAUUUCGAUUUAGAAAGCAAAAAGUCUCCAUCGAGUUCUUCUAAUACAAUGAAUCCUCAAAUACUUCCAGAGCUCUUUUCCAUUUAGUGAGAGUGGCAAGAGAGCAAAGCUCAAGAAAUAACCAAGAGAGUGAAGGGACAAAAGGUUAAUACUAGUCCUAGCUAGUAAUUGUACUCUCAUGUGCUUGGAUUCAUUGAGAAAGCAGGAGAUAAAGAAAGGCUUUUGAAGUGGAGUUUGAGUGAUACCUGGAAUGGCAAUCACAAAUGUGGUAACAAUCUCUACGAUCCUGAAGCACAAUGGACUAGCAACAUAGAAGAAGGUGUUAACGUUGUUGA